GAUAAGUGCUAAAUAAUAUAUAUAUUUAACUAUUUUAUACCGCACUUAUCAUUAUUUUUCUUGCACAUAUUUUAAAUUUAACAUAAGAAAAUGUGUUCCCCUUCAUCAUUGCAUUAUUAAAAAUAAUUCGAUUUCGCUUGAUUUUAUUGGUUAAGUCUAAUGUGUGCAGGUCAAGUCGAAUUAAUUGGGAUGAUGUCUGAACUAAUGU
rnacentral:lncRNA from 1 species